AUUGGCAAAAGAAAAACUGUCACGAUUUGCAUUAUGAUGAACCUGCACAGAAGGAAUGAGCAGGUUUUCUUUGCUGUCUACGUCACUACAGCUACAUUUAUUACCCCUCAGCUUGAGAAGGAUACCUGCCCACAAAGAAGUGUACCACAACAUUCUCGCUGGCACGUUUCAUUAGCAACUUGCUCGUACUCAUCUUUACUUCCGGGUUUUAAGAGGCACUAGAAGAUUUACGAGUUGACGAACAUAGUUGUGUGACCUCAAACAGGACAACGACACGAAUUAAAGACCCUGGAACACGCAUUUCAGAAACAAGGGAUCUAAGGAAUUAACAGAAGGACACUUCCGUCUAGGGCGUGGUAUUAGUAACGAUCUUGGACUAUAAUUAGGCUCUUUCCAUAGAGUGACUCAGGGGUUUUUCUAUUUCUAAAAACAAACAGCACUACUUGUAAAUCGUGUCCUUACGUGGGUGUGUUUUGGAACACAGCUACAAUGUUUAUUUUCUCCUCAAAUGAAGCAUCGUGAUGGAAUUUAUAAACCUUUUAACCAAGGUAUUUACA